UUUGAAGGUUAGACCUUGAAAUUUUUAAUCAGUUUUUUUUAUGCCCUGGUCUGUAAUAUAUAUCACUGUGAUGUCUCAAAAAAUAUCUAAGAAAAUAAACCAACCAAAAAAUACUUAAAAUAAAAAAGGCAACGAAACAAAUAUUUUAAAAUUCAAAGGCCACUCACUGCCACAUUAUAAAUUUUAAACUUAUAAUAAAGAAAAAAUGUGUUUAAGUAAGUGUGUGUUUAAGUAAGUGUAGCUUUUAUUUUACCCCAUUGUGUGUAAACUAUAUAUAGGUAUAUUUUUAUAUUGAAAAUAACCCAGCAAACAUUUUAUAACGGAAUUUCAGUGGACCUACAGUAAGGUGCAAAAAAAAAAAAGCCACACUAACAUUUUUUUUUAAUUUUAAGUAUAUAAUGUUUAAGGAAGCAAAAGUAAAAAUAUUGGAUGUGGUAGUGAAAAAUCUUAGUCAGAAAAGAAAACAAUUAGUAAUUGGACAAAUUGUUGAAGUUGCUGACCAAGGAGAAUCUCACAGAAGAAUCGAAAAAUGUUUUAAACAACAAAACUCAACUAUUAGUAGAUUGAUGAAGAAACUUAAACACACUGGUACAGCUGAAAGAUCUGUUGAAUUUGGGAGAAACCCUAAAACUUUAAAAAAAAUAAAGAUAGCUAUAUUCUUAAUGUCGUCAAAAAAGAUCGUAAAAUUACAUAUUUUGUGAUAAAACUAGAUUUGAACCUUUCUAAUAUUUUAAAAUGGACAAUAUCUCGUCAAAUGAAAGCACCAGUUGAGUUUUUUGCUGAAAAGAAAAAAAGAAAACCUUUGUUAGUGAAAUCAAUUGUAAAAAAAGAUUAUAGUGGUGCAUUGAGCACAAAGAUCGGAUAUGUGAGCAAUGGGCCAAGUUAUUUAAAACAAUGAGUCUCCUUUUGUGUUGUUUUAUAAUGGUCGAUCUCACUGCUGGAAUUUAUUUGGGGAAAAGUUUAACCCCCAAACAUGCAUGGCAGCCAUUAAACAUGACAAAGAGAUUAAUGUUUGGCGUUGUUUUAGUGCACACUAAGUAGGAAAGCUUUACCGGGUGGAGCAUACAAUGGACCAGCAUUUGUAUCACAAAAUCUUAGUUUAUCAACUUGGACCAAGUAUAGAAGAACUUUUCCGUAAUAAUGACUACAUCUUUCAAUAAGAUAACAAUCUCAAACAUAUGGGAUGAUUGAAUAAAAGAUAUUUGAAACCAAAGUUGAUAUCUAUCCCUCAGCCAUGUUAUGGCCAGCACAGAUGUCUUCAGAAGUCAUGAGAAACAAAGGAUGGCCAUUUAAGUAUUAAUACAGCUAAAACUUGAAAAAACUUUACAAAUUCUAAUUUCUUUUCAUUAUAUGUAAUUUACAAUAAUAUUGUAUACACUUCUUUAAAAAUUGUCCUGAAUUACUAUUAUAUGA